rnacentral:rRNA from 1 species
CCUACGGGAGGCAGCAGUGGGGGAUAUUGCACAAUGGGGGGAACCCUGAUGCAGCGACGCCGCGUGGGUGAAGAAGCGCCUCGGCGCGUAAAGCCCUUUCAGCAGGGAAGAAAAAAGACGGUACCUGACUAAGAAGCCCCGGCUAACUACGUGCCAGCAGCCGCGGUAAUACGUAGGGGGCAAGCGUUAUCCGGAUUUACUGGGUGUAAAGGGAGCGUAGACGGCAAUACAAGUCGGAAGUGAAAUACCCGGGCUCAACCUGGGAACUGCUUUGGAAACUGUAUGGCUAGAGUGCUGGAGAGGUAAGCGGAAUUCCUAGUGUAGCGGUGAAAUGCGUAGAUAUUAGGAGGAACACCAGUGGCGAAGGCGGCUUACUGGACAGUAACUGACGUUGAGGCUCGAAAGCGUGGGGAGCAAACAGGAUUAGAUACCCUAGUAGUC